UCCUCGUUAGUACAGUGGUGAAUAUCUCCGCCUGUCACACGGGAGAUCACGGUUUAAUUCUCCGGGGAG